rnacentral:rRNA from 1 species
UACAGAGGUGGCAAGCGUUGUUCGGAAUUACUGGGCGUAAAGGGCGCGUAGGUGGCCUUUUGAGUCAGACGUGAAAUCCCCCGGCUUAACCUGGGAACUGCGUCUGAUACUGGAAGGCUUGAGUUCGGGAGAGGGAUGUGGAAUUCCAGGUGUAGCGGUGAAAUGCGUAGAUAUCUGGAGGAACACCGGUGGCGAAGGCGGCAUCCUGGACCGGUAUUGACGCUGAGGCGCGAAAGCCAGGGGAGCAAACGGG